rnacentral:tRNA from 1 species
GGGCUCGUGGCUUAGCCAGGAUAUAGCGUCGGGCUUCUAACCCGAAUGUCGGGGGUUCAAAUCCCUCCGAGCCCGCCA